rnacentral:lncRNA from 1 species
AAAGGCAAAAGGGUUAUGUGAAUUGAUAAGUGGAAAAUGUGGACAGCCUGACUAGAUAUCCUGAGAGAUGGUGGACGGACCGGGUCUGUAGGGAACCCUACCGGGAACGUGGUCUCUCAUACCGGACGGGGUAUGAAGACCUUAUGUGUUUUGGCGCCCAUACCGGAUGGGGUAUGGGGACGGCCCGUUUCACCCUAAUACCGGACGGGGUAUUGAGGUUCAUGGUUUUGG